rnacentral:ncRNA from 1 species
UGGACGUGUUGGUUGUGUGCCAGACACUCAGUGUGCAACCUCAACUCAGGCAAGGAAACGCCGUGAACUAAAGCAUUUCAGUAACGGCAGGAAAAGAAAAUAACCAUGAUUCCCACAGUAACGGCGAGUGAAGUGGGAAGAGUCCAACGUUGAAAGCGGCAUCUGUAACAAGGUGUGGCAUUGUAACGUAUAGACUUGUCAUCGAGGCGUCCGACCGGACUAAAGUCGUUAAGAAUGGCGCACCAUAGAGGGUUGUAGUCCCGUACAUGGUUCGGUAUCGGAUGUCGUGAAUGGCAAAGUCAAAGAGUCGGAUUGUUUGGGAAUGCAGUCCAAAGUGGGUGGUAAACUCCAUCUAAGGCUAAAUAUUACUCCGAGACCGAUAGCAAACAAGUACCGUGAGGGAAAGGUGAAAAGAAUUCUGAGAAGAGAGUGAGAAGAACGUGAAA